rnacentral:rRNA from 1 species
AACGAACGCUGGCGGCGCGCCUAAUACAUGCAAGUCGAGCGAGAAGGUGUAGCAAUACACUUGUAAAGCGGCGAACGGGUGAGGAAUGCAUGGGUAACCUACCCUCGAGUGGGGAAUAACUAGCCGAAAGGUUAGCUAAUACCGCAUACGUUUCCGGAACUUCGGUUUCGGAAAGAAAGCAAUACCGUGGGUAUUGCGCUCCUGGAUGGGCUCAUGUCCUAUCAGCUUGUUGGUGAGGUAACGGCUCACCAAGGCUUCGACGGGUAGCUGGUCUGAGAGGACGAUUAGCCACACUGGCACUGCGACACGGGCCAGACUCCUACGGGAGCAGCAGUAAGGAAUAUUGCGCAAUGGACGAAAGUCUGACGCAGCGACGCCGCGUGGGGGGAUGAAGGUCUUUCGGGAUUGUAAACCCCUUUCGGGAGGGAAGAUGGAGUGGGUAACCACUUGGACGGUACCUCCAGAAGCAGCCACGGCUAACUUCGUGCCAGCAGCCGCGGUAAU